AGCGAGAAAAGGGGAGCAUCCUCUGAGUAAAGCGGCGCACGGGUGAGUAACACGUGGGUAAUCUGCCCUGGAGUGGGGAAUAACACCGGGAAACGGGUGCUAAUACCGCAUACGAUAAUGAGGUCUGCGGAUCUUGUUAUGAAAGGAGCAAUUCGCUCCAGGAGGAGCCCGCGGCUGAUUAGCUAGUUGGUGAGGUAAUGGCUCACCAAGGCUUCGAUCAGUAUCCGGUCUGAGAGGACGGUCGGACACACUGGAACUGAGACACGGUCCAGACUCCUACGGGAGGCAGCAGUGGGGAAUUUUUGGCAAUGGGGGCAACCCUGAACCAAGCAACGGCGCGUGGGUGAUGAAGUCUCUUGGGACGUAAAACCCUUUCGACGGGGAAGAA
rnacentral:rRNA from 1 species